AGUAAGGUCAGCUAAAAAAGCUCUCGGGCCCAUACCCCGAAAAUGAUAGUUAAAGCCAUCCCCUACUA
rnacentral:tRNA from 1 species